rnacentral:lncRNA from 1 species
CGGUAGGGUCGCGCCUCCUCCCCUGCGGCUGCCUCCGUGCUGCCUGCCGGCGUUCCCUCAGCCCUGUCUCCAGCGCUCCCUCCUCUGGCGCCUGUCCCCUUUUCUAACGCCUUCUCUAUUUAUUACUUUGGAAAAUAACAUGUUUUUUUAAAAUAAAAGCUGUGGUUCUUCCACCCUUCUCCUCGCCUUUUGAUGGCGUUGACCCAGCACUGUAAACCGCGGCUCUGUGCGCGAAGUUUGCGCCGUCGCCUUUUUGGCGCUGCUGGGGGGGCAACUGGAGCGGUGCCGGUGUUGCCCCGCCGCUCGGACGUGGAGUGUGGUAGAAGAGCGGCGUCGCUCACUGGCAUGUUUGGGGAUGGCACAGCAGAGCAGAGACGAUGGGGAAAGCAGUGGGAAGGCGGAAAACCGAAAGUUUGAACCGAUGGUUUUUUCAAGUCCCGUUUUCUGUUCCUUUGCCCUCCACCCCGUCCCACCUCAUCAAGCAAAUGCAGGAAGAGAAAGGAAGAAAAAAAAAAGCAUUCAAGAAUGCGUUUCUCUACAGUGAUGGAAAUUUGAUCGGCGGGUUUCUCCCAGAACUGGCAUGUGGGGACGGUCCGUCCCCGCCGCCUUGUCCUGGGAGCGCUUCCACGUUACAGUCGAGGAUUUCAGUACCGCAAACCAUUGCGCCCUUGUGGUAAGUGACCAUGGAAAGUGGGAACGCUCUAGAGGGAAGGUGGGACGGGGUUCGCGGAGCUGCGUCCCUUCACUUCCUUUGUACUUCUGGCUGCGGGCGGGGGG